GAUGAACGCUAGCUACAGGCUUAACACAUGCAAGUCGAGGGGUAACGAGAGGAAAGCUUGCUUUCCUUGUCGAAGACCGGCGCACGGGUGAGUAACGCGUAUCCAACCUGCCCCCAACUAGGGAAUAACAUUGCGAAAGUAAGACUAAUACCCUAUAAUUUCCUCAGAUGUCAUCUGACGAGGAAUAAAGAUUUAUCGGUCGUGGAUGGGGAUGCGUCUGAUUAGCUUGUUGGCGGGGUAACGGCCCACCAAGGCAACGAUCAGUAGUGGUUCUGAGAGGAAGGUCCCCCACAUUGGAACUGAGACACGGUCCAAACUCCUACGGGAGGCAGCAGUGAGGAAUAUUGGUCAAUGGGCGGAAGCCUGAACCAGCCAAGUAGCGUGCAGGAUGACGGCCCUAUGGGUUGUAAACUGCUUUUAUACAGGAAUAAAGUUAGCCACGUGUGGUUAUUUGUAGGUACUGUAUGAAUAAGGACCGGCUAAUUCCGUGCCAGCCGCCGCCGUAA
rnacentral:rRNA from 1 species